AUGAUGCUGUGGAGAGAGAUUCAUUCAAAAACAUUUUCUUCCCUAAUCCACCCAUAACUAUAGUAACCUGAUUCCCUUUUCAAACACUUCUAGCUGAUAAGUAGAGACGUUCAGGUUUGAUUGAGUAUACAUUUCUGUAUAAAGAUACGGCAGCAUGUUAGUGUCUUCAUCAAUUAACUUCAUAACCUGUAUUUCUUGGUGUCUGCUUUACAAUUUUGUAUGGUAUAGAUCUAUUACAUAGCUUGGUGGUUGUGGUAGCUGGUUGGUGCUGUCCCAAGAUGGUGGCUUGGGACUUAGCCUGCGCUAUCGACCAAUCCAUUACUAUUGAAGAUGUAUUCUCGUUUAUCGACCAAUCCCUGCCUGGUUACUGUCCAGGACUAGUCGAA
rnacentral:lncRNA from 1 species